GGCGCCCCGCCCACCGGCCCACCGCCUUCCGCCCGGGUCUUCCGCCCGCCUUCCCAGUGAGCUGCGUUAGGCUUGCCUGGAUCUUCCCCUUUCCCCCUCAGCGUGUCGGCCUUCCGCAGCCUUUCCGUGCCCCGCCUCAGCGCGUGGAUGCUCCUCUUCCCCACGCGAAGGCCCAGCCCGACUACCUGAAGCGCCGUCGCGACUGCAGCAUUACCGGCGGGCCUGUAGGAGGGAGUGAUGGAGAGAAAGAAGAGGUGUCUUUUCCCACGGUGGCGUGGACUGGGGGAGUACCCACAAAUAAAGCCAUCCCCCAGAGUAGUUGUGGUGGAACAACCCAUGGAUGUUGACUAAGCUCUGGUUCUGAGCUAAUGGUGCGGGAUUGGUGAGACCUCUUUGGGUUGCUAAUAUCUUCAAAGUACUAACCUGGCUAGUUCUCUCUGACUUUGAAGGGCGACUGAAUGUCAAAGACUGCAGAGUCGAGAGGGUUGGGGCAGAGAGGUUGGAGAAGUGAAAUAGGAGAGCAACUUGAAAGGCCCUGAUAGGAAGUCGAAGGGUCAGGGAAAUCAGAUAGCUGGGAAAGAUGAAAUGUCAAAGGCAGAGCGGAUGGAAGGAAGUUUCUCACAGCACCCCUGACGUGCUGACAAAGGAUGAGAGAAGAUGCUGAGGCAAGCUGGUCAAAAAAUUCGCUGGACCAAGGACAGAGUUGAAAUGUGCUUUGAGAAGUGGCUCCCAUUUAAGACACUUAAUGUUGAUCCCUGGGCCAAGAAGAGUUUCCCACUCUAUCUCUUUGCCUAACUCCUAGUCAUCCCUCAGGACUCAGUUUUAGUAUCAUUUCUUCAGGAAGACCUUCCCUAAACCCUCAUGCCCCAUUUUAAUUCAGAGAAUCAACAGUAUCUAGAAUAGGUUCUGAUUCUGGUUCUCCACCAUUAACGUUAUGGUCUUAGGUUGAUUUAAUCUUGGUUUAUUCUCUUUAGGUCUUAACUUCCACCUCAGUGGCAUUUUAUAUUGUUCGACAGACAUUAAAUGAAGGCUAGGAGCUUUAGGGGAAUAUAAAGAUGAAUAGGAUAAAAUACAGCCCUUCCACCAACCCAUAAGAGGUACCAACUCAAACAUAAAACCAUAAGAGGCAGAGCUGCACGGAAACUGUUUGAAGUGUUCGUUGUAGGAUUGGGUAGGUUUGACUGCAAAGAGUUCUGGGUGCUGCCCUACACUGACCUAAGUCAAUAAUAACUAUGCCCCCUUGCUACAGUAAUUAGAUCAGAACUGUACCUAUAAAUGCAACUACUGCAGGACAUUUCCAGGUCAGUUAGAUCAAGUACAGGGUGUGCCUCAAGGUAGGCAAAUGAUGUAGACCAGUAAGUGUCUGGGACAUUUAUUCAGGAAUUAGAGUUAAGGAGACUUUCUGGCAUGUGGAAUAGUGUAGCUAUUUUGCAACGAAGAGGGGCCAACCUGAAAACCAACACAUUUCCUAGGUAAGAAUCAUCAAAAAAUAUCAAUUCACUUUCAUACCUACCUUUGUCAAUUUUCUUGAGCCAAUACCCUUCCUUUACUGUUUUAUAUAGUUUGAUAUGUGUUUUUUAUUAGUUGCAAGCAAAAUAAUUUUGAAAUAGGAUGCUACUUUGUCUCAACAAGACAGAUUUAUUAAUUAAGCAUCUUUUCUAAACUAUACCCCCUAAUAUUCUUCCAAUAUUUGUUUAAAGGGAAGGCUGAAUGGUAAAGAGUGGAAAGGAAAUCUCUUUCCUGUCACAACCAAUUUAGCUCUGGUCCAAAUUUGUACAUCCUAGUCAUUGAAAAUAAAUCACUGCACCUACUUGGAUCUAAUUUCUUUAUAGUGUGGCAUAACAUAUCCUUGGGUGGGAGUGAGGAUCGAGGCAGGUACAGAAGUCUCACCACUACUAUAGACCUCAUAGCAAAGUACCAACUCCGGCCACAUACAGAAAUGUUCCCUUAAAAGAAUCCCAUUAAAUACAAUUUUCUCCUCGAUAUAUUUUCAGUGAUAAAAUGUGUUAACACUCUUUAUGGAUUGAGGUUCUAGGCAAUUAUGGGGGGUGACCUCCUUAAUCUGACUCCAAUUAAAAGAUAUAGGUAUUAUAAUUAAAGAGUCCUGGAGUUCCCAUUGUGGCUCAGCAGAAACAAAUCUGAUUAGUAUCCAUGAAAACGCAGGUUCGAUCCCUGGCCUUGCUCAGUGAGUUAAGGAUCUGACAUUGCCCUGAGCUGUGGUGUAGGUCACAGACACAGCUCAGAUCCCACAGCCACAGCAACACCAGAUCUGAGCCACAUCUGCCACCUACACCACAGCUUAUGGCAACACUGGAUCCUCAACCCACUGAGCGAGGCCAGGGAUCGAACCCACCACUUCAUAGUUCCUAGUCAGAUUCCUUUCUGCUGCACCACCACAGGAACUCCUAAGGGAAACUUCUAAAUACUAUUAUAACCUGAUUCUAAAACCAGACAAAAAUUAAUUUUCCUGUCUAACUUAUAAGCAGUUCUUAUCCCAGUAAUGCAAAGAUGAUUUCACACUAGCAUAUAUGUUAAAGAACUUGGUAAUUUGAUACAGCUCAACAAGUAAGAACUACCAAAAGGUCUGGAUGUGGAAAAUCAGAAGCUGGAUUUCCUUGGUAGUUCAUUGGGUUAAGGAUUUGGUGUUGUCACUGCUGUGGCACGGGUUCAGUCCCGGUCCUGGGAACUUCUGUAUGCUGCAGGCAUAGCCAAAAAAAGAAAAAAA
rnacentral:lncRNA from 1 species